GUGGAUAUAGCUCAGUUGGUUAGAGUGCCAGGUUGUGGCCCUGGAGGUCGUGGGUUCGAGCCCCACUAUUCACCCCA
rnacentral:tRNA from 1 species